rnacentral:lncRNA from 1 species
GACCAACAUAUUCCCAGAACACGCUUAAAGUAACUUAAAUAAUAAAAAAAUACAUAAAUUUAUAUGUAGUGUGAAUAUACAUCAUCACGAUGGCAUUAAACUUAUAUAUACUUAAUACUUAAAGUAAUAUAAUUAAGUUGGUGAAAAUAAACUUAAGCCAAUACUGAAUAUAAGGAGAGCAUUUUAAAACUCAAAACUCAAUUAUAACACAC